rnacentral:rRNA from 1 species
CUGCAGUAUCCUGACUGUGCGAAGGUAGCAUAAUAAUUUGUCUUAUAAUUGAAGAAUGGAAUGAAAGGUUUGACGAGGGUAUUGCUGUCUGGCUUGUAUUUAUUAUAAGUUGAUUUUUAGAUUAAAAGGUCUAAAUUAAAUUAAAGGACGAGAAGACCCUAUUGAGCUUUAUAAGGAGGACAUCUAUAAAAUUAUGUAUUAGAUGAGUAGAAGAGGUAAAAAUUUUAGUUGGGGCGACUUAGGAGCAGUUAAAGCUUCCUAUUAGAUGAUGGGUUGAUUGGCGUGAGAUCCAGAUUGUUUUGAAUUAAGAACAAGUUACCAUAGGGAUAACAGCGUAAUUCUUUUUGAGAGUUCUAAUCGAAGAGGGGGUUUGCGACCUCGAUGUUGGAUUAGGGGGUAGUAAAGGUUGUAGAAGCUUUUAUAAUUAGUCUGUUCGACUAUUAGUUCCCUACAUGAUCUGAGUUCAAACCGGA